GAACCUACGGGACGCAGCAGUGGGGAAUAUUGGGCAAUGGGCGCAAGCCUGACCCAGCAACGCCGCGUGAAGGAUGAAGGUUUUCGGAUUGUAAACUUCUGUCGCGAGGGACGAAGAAUGACGGUACAUCGUAAGAAAGCCCCGGCUAACUACGUGCCAGCAGCCGCGGUAAUACGUAGGGGGCAAGCGUUGUCCGGAAUGACUGGGCGUAAAGGGAGUGUAGGCGGCUCAUCAAGUUAGAUGUGAAAUCCCGCGGCUUAACCGCGGAACGGCAUCCAAAACU
rnacentral:rRNA from 1 species